UGUUUCACCCAUACCACCCUGAACAUGCCUGGUCUCUUCUGACCUUAGAAGCUAAGCAGGGGCAGGUCUGGUUUGCUCUCUGAUAGGCAAAAUUU
rnacentral:rRNA from 1 species